GUGAGGAAUUUUCCGCAAUGGGCGAAAGCCUGACGGAGCAAUGCCGCGUGAAGGAUGAAGGCCUAUGGGUUGUAAACUUCUUUUCUUAGAGAAGAAUAUUGACGGUAUCUGAGGAAUAAGCAUCGGCUAACUCUGUGCCAGCAGCCGCGGUAAGACAGAGGAUGCAAGCGUUAUCCGGAAUGAUUGGGCGUAAAGCGUCUGUAGGUGGCUUCAAAAGUCUCCUGUCAAAGAUCAGGGCUUCACCCUGGGCCGGCAGGAGAAACUCUGAGGGUAGAGUUUGGUAGGGGCAGAGGGAAUUCCCGGUGGAGCGGUGAAAUGCGUAGAGAUCGGGAGGAACACCGAAGGCGAAAGCACUCUGCUGGGCCACAACUGACACUGAGAGACGAAAGCGAGGGGAGCAAAAGGGAUUAGAUACCCCUGUAGUCC
rnacentral:rRNA from 1 species